AAGGGAGACCUAAUUCGGGUAGAAGACGAAAAAAUAGUAGUCGAAACCAAGAAUCAAUCCCAAAAGGUCGGAACGAGGUAUGUGGCUUUCAAACUAGGUUCUGGGUUCACAAAAGACCUGAAUCAGGAACAAGGGCUAUUAGCUCAGGUGGUUAGAGCGCACCCCUGAUAAGGGUGAGGUCCCUGGCUCGAGUCCAGGAUGGCCCACCUGCACAGGUGGCAAAAACAAGAGAAACGAGGAAUCAGCACCUUAUCUUACUUACAUAGUAAGAGAGAAUGCUGGCUCUGAGUAAAGAGUCCAGAGGAACCUUGAAAACUGCAUAGAGCUAGGUGAAAAAGCCAAAAAAGAAGACCGCAA
rnacentral:tRNA from 1 species